rnacentral:rRNA from 1 species
UCCUACGGGGCGCAGCAGUGAGGAAUAUUGGUCAAUGGUCGGGAGACUGAACCAGCCAAGCCGCGUGAGGGAUGAAGGUACAGAGUAUCGUAAACCUCUUUUGUCAGGGAACAAAGGCGGGGACGCGUCCCCGGAUGAGUGUACCUGAAGAAAAAGCAUCGGCUAACUCCGUGCCAGCAGCCGCGGUAAUACGGAGGAUGCGAGCGUUAUCCGGAUUUAUUGGGUUUAAAGGGUGCGCAGGCGGUCUGUUAAGUCAGCGGUCAAAGCCCGGGGCUCAACCCCGGCCCGCCGUUGAGACUGGCAGG